GACGAACACUGGCGGCGUGCUUAACACAUGCAAGUCGUACGGUAAGGCCCUUUCGGGGGUCCACGAGUGGCGAACGGGUGAGUAACACGUGAGUAACCUGCCCACAACUUUGGGAUAACGCUAGGAAACUGGUGCUAAUACUGGAUAUGUGCUCCUGCUGCAUGGUGGGGGUUGGAAAGCUCCGGCGGUUGUGGAUGGACUCGCGGCCUAUCAGCUUGUUGGUGGGGUAGUGGCCUACCAAGGCGGCGACGGGUAGCCGGCCUGAGAGGGUGACCGGCCACAUUGGGACUGAGAUACGGCCCAGACUCCUACGGGAGGCAGCAGUGGGGAAUAUUGCACAAUGGGCGCAAGCCUGAUGCAGCAACGCCGCGUGCGGGAUGACGGCCUUCGGGUUGUAAACCGCUUUCAGCAGGGACGAAGCUUUUUGUGACGGUACCUGCAGAAGAAGCACCGGCUAACUACGUG
rnacentral:rRNA from 1 species